rnacentral:rRNA from 1 species
GGUGGUGGAUUAAGUCAGAUGUGAAAGCCCGGGGCUCAACCUCGGAACCGCAUUUGAAACUGGUGAACUAGAGUGCUGUAGAGGGGGGUAGAANNNNAGGUGUAGCGGUGAAAUGCGUAGAGAUCUGAAGGAAUACCAGUGGCGAAGGCGGCCCCCUGGACAGACACUGACACUCAGAUGCGAAAGCGUGGGGAGCA